UACCAUGCUGAAUAUACCGGUUCUCGUUAGAUCACCGAAGUCAAGCAUCAUUGGGCGCGGUCAGUACUUGGGUGGGUGACCACCUGGGAACACUGCGUGCCGUU